rnacentral:lncRNA from 1 species
CGGGGCGGCCACGCCUGGGAGCAUCAUGGCGGCCUCCCCGGUGCGCUCUUGCCGCCGCCUGUUGGGACUGCGCUCCAGGGCUGCUGACUCCGGUGGGAGUGGCUGCCCCGCGGGUUUCAGCGGAUUCGGUAGUAAGCUCGCAGUGCAAGUGCUUUCCUACUUUCCUGUCCCCGAAGUUAUUUGCUUUGCUUUUCUUUCUUUUUUUUUUUUUUCUUUUUUUUUCCUUUUUUUUCGAUUUUAUUGAUUUAUUCAUGAGAGACCCGGAGAGAAGCAGGCUCCCCGGCCCGAGCCUGAUGCAGGACUUGAUCCCAGGACCCCAGGGUCCCCACCACCUGAGCCCAAGGCCGAUGCUCAACCACCGAGCCACUCCGGCGGCCUCGUCAUCCCUUCUUACCUCAGGAUUUCAUUUUGUUUCCUAAAGGAGACGAUUUGUUCGUUGCUGCUUACUGCCUCGUCCAACACCGGCGAACGAAUGUGUGGGGCCAAGAUGAGAAAGUACGAGGAAAGGAAGGCCGGGUCUUGGUAUCCCGCCUUCCUGACCGAAGAGCCUGUUUCCCUCCUUGGGUUGACUUUGAUUUGCUCUGUAGUGAAAUCCCAAAGCUGCGGAAGCCUAUCUGGAAGAAAUCUUCAGUCCAAGUCUUUGGACCAAGAAGCAAGUCUGGGUAUGUUGGAUGUUUGUGAACGUUUAUAUUUGCAUGUUCAUGACCCUCAUGGUUGCAAUAGGGAGGAGUGGUAGAAAAAAGGAGUUUUAUUUUAUCUUUUAGUCUAUUGUUAUGUCUCCUGAAUACAUCAGCAGAGUUUAAAAGUUAUUUUUACAUACACCAAAGGUUGAAGUCCGCUGUAUCAAAGUACCAUCUAAGAUUCUGACUUGGGGAAGUAGUGUGCUACCAUCCCUCUACUGUCCAGUAGCACCAGCAGCUUGACAUCAAUAUCAGAAUCUUCUAUCCUCUUUGGUGACCUCAGAAGUUCAUGAAUAUAAAUAUAGUGGUGUUUUCUUCUGAAAACAGAAGAUUUUUUCCCCCGUUUCUGAGAUUUCUAUGAGGUUAUCCGGUUUAUAAGGGAAAAUGCGGUCUGCUUAUGAAAAUGCUCAUAGUCAAUUUAGUUCACAAAUAUGGCAUUUUCUUUAAAGAAGAAGAAACAUGGGACACCUGGGUGGCUCAGUAGUUUAGCGUUUGCCUUUGGUUCAGGCUGCAAUCUUGAGGUCCUGGGAUCAAGUCCCACAUCGGGCUCCCUGUGGGGAGCCUGCUUCUUCCUCUGCCUGCUUCUGCCUCUCUCUCUGUGUGU